rnacentral:sRNA from 1 species
GAAAAAUGUGCCUUGUUAAUACUUGACAAGAUACAAGACGAGAGCCUUAUUAAUGCAAAAAAUAAUGCACUGCAGACACCCCUCCACGUCGCUGCGCGCAAUGGCUUAAAGGUGGUAGUUGAGGAGUUGCUGGCCAAAGGGGCCUGUGUACUUGCUGUAGAUGAAAAUGGUCAUACCCCGGCCCUGGCUUGCGCUCCUAACAAAGACGUGGCUGACUGCCUGGCCCUCAUUUUGGCUACCAUGAUGCCUUUUUCUCCUUCCAGUACAAUGAUGGCUGUCAACUUCG